rnacentral:rRNA from 1 species
AGGACGAACGCUGGCGGCGUGCUUAACACAUGCAAGUCGAGCGAUGAAGCUUCUUCGGAAGUGGAUAGCGGCGGACGGGUGAGUAACACGUGGGUAACCUGCCUCAUAGAGGGGAAUAGCCUUCCGAAAGGAAGAUUAAUACCGCAUAAGAUUGUAAUAUCGCAUGAUAUAGCAAUUAAAGGAGUAAUCCGCUAUGAGAUGGACCCGCGUCGCAUUAGCUAGUUGGUGAGGUAACGGCUCACCAAGGCGACGAUGCGUAGCCGACCUGAGAGGGUGAUCGGCCACAUUGGGACUGAGACACGGCCCAGACUCCUACGGGAGGCAGCAGUGGGGAAUAUUGCACAAUGGGGGAAACCCUGAUGCAGCCAACGCCGCGUGAGUGAUGACGGUCUUCGGAUUGGUAAAGCUCUGUCUUCAGGGACGAUAAUGACGGUACCUGAGGAGGAAGCCACGGCUAACUACGUGCCAGCCGCUGC